rnacentral:lncRNA from 1 species
AGAGCUGGAAAGGGCUCGCAGAGAUGAUAUAAUGUCGUGGAUUUCAACUUUUCGGGGCCAUAGACACUUUUCAGAAAUUGAUAAAACGUUGACACACCUUGUAAAAAAUGAACACAUUAAAAUUAAGCCUGCAGUUUGAGGUAAUGGAGAAGCACUGGAGAUUUGUAAGCCACGGAGUCAAAUGGUGGACUGGGAUUUUCAGGAGAUCAUUUAGAGAGCAAGAUCUUACCAAAUCCUUUAGUCAUGGUCUAUUUCGUUGCACUCAUAUGGUUGUUACUGCGAAGGUGAAGAACUAAUGACUGCAGCAGGAAAAAGAAUUGGAUGUGUCAUGAAUUAUGGCCCUGCUUAUACUUCUACUUCAACCGUAAUCAUUUGUUUAAACAAAAAGUUCUGCAUUUGAAUUGUCACAAUUGUGUGUGUGUUAUAAACAUCUCAUAUUUCAUCCAGGCUCAGCCAACACUUGCCUUUAUUAAUGCUCAUAAUCAAGAAAUAAAAUCUCAUACUAACCAAAAAUUAUCCUUCAUAAGAGAAUAUAAACAGAAGUCUGGUUCAUAAACUUACUAAUUAACACCUCUAUUCUCAUGUAUCAACUAACAUUUUUGUUUCGUCUUAAAAUAAAUAAAACUUUAUGACAUGCUAAUAA